GUGCUCAGUCCAAAGGUGGCAGCAGCGGCGCUUUCGACAUAAAAGUUAUCUUUGCACGGGCUCUGGAGAAUCUCGAAAAAUCCAUUUAGAAAUUACUCCACAUGUUUGACAUAUACGUAUUUAAAAUAAUAGUUUAAAAUACAGAUGCAUUUCGUGUUUUUUACGAAACGUAUUUUUACGUUCGACGAAUUUUAAAAUCGAUGAAAAUAACUGAUUGCAAUUUUGCUACUGGACCAUAAUAACAAAGAAUAAAACUGGUUUCAGUUAAUUUUCUUUAAACGGCCUUAUUUACAUAAUAAACUUGUGGUAGUGUAUUUUUCGUUUUUUAGUUUAGUAAAUUUGGCAUAAAAUGAAAAAUCCCUUAAAGUAACUUUUUCUGGCAGAAGAUCAUCAGUCUCCAUGGAGAAAAUAAGGCCAAGCGAGCCCGCUCAGUUAGAAUCAAUGUUUUUAAAGGUAUUUUGUCACCAAAUGCAACGUAAUAAUGUCUCUAUUCAGCAGGUGGCGGACUCCAGUCCAGAAAAUUUAACACACCUGUUGUGAACCCCUCCCCGGCCUCAGCUGGACUCACCCAGAUCGGCUGAAGAGAAAGUGAAGGUUUUGGUGCUAGUUUCAUUGAGAGGUUCUUGAUAUUCAGAUGAAGUUAUUAAGUUACCCUCGAGCAAGCAAACUUUUGCACGACAACUAGCCUGUGGUCUCAGCCACAUGAAUGGCACAUUAAAAUCUUAAUACAAAGCCGAAAAAUAAGACAAAGGCAAAUCUUUUGUUGAGUCUCCCUUUAAUAUAUAUUCCUACUACGAGCAAGUCCAGGCAUCAUAGGUCCCAGUGAAGACACUCGGCUCACACAGACACCAUCACAGCCGCUCGCUUCUGCCUCAGUGACACACUUCUUGAGCUGCUCCUCUGACUGCACCACUCGCCUCUGGGAGGUAGAGAGCUGUCAUCCUGUCUGAGAUUUCACUGGAGGCCAUGAAGGAACCAUAAGAGUGUGCCAUGAUCUCAGACACCAACAGUGGAAGUGUCGUCAGCCCGGCCUCCUCACCUUCUGCUCCUCCUCGGCUGAUGGGAGAAUGCUGGUUUGUGCCUCUGUUCCUCAGAACGGGGUUUACAUCAGUGACGCCGCUAGUCCGUGCUUCACAUCAAUGGUCAAAUUAGGGAGUACGGCGCACUUGUGCCCUCUACAGACCAGCCGCCUCUGCUGACCAGUAAAGAAACGUCCGUCAUUGCCUGGGACGCCUGACACAUGUACGUAGGCCUUAGCGUAGGCGUAAAGCCCAUUUUAGCCUCAUUCAAUUUAGCCAUUAUUAGGCUAUUUAAAACACAAAUAAAGACUUUUCCCCACGUUUUUACCACUAGAUGGCACUGGGAAAUAACUUUUCAGCGCUGUGCCUGGGCAUGAGGCGAUGGAAUGGAAACAAUUGGCCAGUGAAUUAACAUGAGAAUUUCAUGUUUAUGCAUGAUCGGUGCUAGACACUAUUAUUGUAACUUUAAACAGGUCUGUUUUCAAUUGGAUCAACACCUGCUGACUUAAAGCCAUGAGUAUGUAACUUUUUUGGUCAA